ensembl:snRNA U2 U2 spliceosomal RNA
AUUUUUGUGUGUGUGUGUGUGUGUGUGUGUGUGUGUGUGUGUGUGUUCUCUCUGUUCUUAUCAGUUUAAUAUCUGAUGUCUCUCUGUCCCCAUCCACAGGGGACUACAUAUUAAAUGGAUUUUUCGAACACAGGGAGUCGGAAAUGGGGCUUGCUCCGUCUCGCUCCACCUCUGACUUCCACCUCUGGUAUUGCAGUACCUCCGGGAACGGUGCAACACUU